GACAUCCAUGGUUUACAUGAACCCGCGCAAACAUCGGCGGCUCAACCAGGCACAGGUCCUGUUACCAGAGCUAUGAACAACGAUCAACGCAAACGUGUAUAUUUUGACUCUGGUAUAUGGAACCAGAUGAACCAGAAAAAAACAACAAAGAAGAAGAUUUGGAUUGCUUGGAACCAGAAGUGACAUACACCGACGUUUGUGAAGAUGAUGAGGCAAGGGUUUUUCAUCAAAUGGAUACGCACUUCGAAGCGUUCAGGGAUCCUGAAGUGGUAAUCCGAGAAAUUGAUCCAUUCGAUCGAGUAUACCAAGAUCUGCCUGCUCAACAUCUUGUGUUAAGGAAAGUCCCGAUAUGCGAGUAUUGUGGUGCAAUAAGGUUUCCAGGUGAGGGGCCCAGUUGUUGCUGCAAGCAAGGAAAGGUUAAUAUAGUGAACACAACAAUUCCUGAUGAACUGCGAUGCCUGUUUACAAGCCAGACAGAUAGGGAUGCAUUAUAUUUGUCGUGUGAUUUUUAGGGUACCCACAGCCGGGUGGCGGAACGCACCCUCCUAUUCCCUUGUGAGGGAGAACUCGGGGAGGUAUUAGGCGGUGAGGCUAAUCUAGCACUGAGGCAAGCACGCAAGAACACAAGAUCUAGAGUGGUUCGGGCCGCCGGAGCGUAAUACCCUACGUCCACUGGGGGAAAUAUUGUUCUUGGUUGUGUAUGAAUCUAUCCUCUGCCGGGCCUUGGCCUUUUUUCAG